UACGUAGGUGACCAGCGUUGUCCGGAUUUACUGGGCGUAAAGAGCGCGCAGGCGGUCGUUCAAGUCGAGUGUGAAAGCCCCCGGCUCAACUGGGGAGAGUCAUUCGAUACUGAUCGACUUGAAGGCAGGAGAGGGAAGUGGAAUUCCCGGUGUAGUGGUGAAAUGCGUAGAUAUCGGGAGGAACACCAGUGGCGAAGGCGACUUCCUGGCCUGUUCUUGACGCUGAGGCGCGAAAGCUAGGGGAGCAAACGGG
rnacentral:rRNA from 1 species